UCUUCUUAAUUGUACUGAAAUUAGCUUGGAAAUGGUUUCUUUUGCAUGGUUGUUUCUGAGGAGGGGGGCGAGGGGUUGUUUGGUUGGUUGGUUUGUUUAGGGUUUUCUAAAGUUUGGGAGUUUGGUUUUAAUCUGCUCUACUUCUAUAUUAUCAUGCUAUGAAUUUUGCUUCUCUUUGUGUUUUGUUAAUUUACACUUGAGCGUAUCUUCAAUUCCAUAGCUUGAAUAAGUUUGCUAACUUCUGAAUAGAUCCUUCUGCUUUUUUUCAUUGCUUCUGUGUUUUUGGGUAAGUGUUUGCUUUUUGGUUAGAUUUUAUUUUUAUUUCUGCGCGAG
rnacentral:misc_RNA from 1 species